rnacentral:rRNA from 1 species
AGCGAACGCUGGCGGCAGGCCUAACACAUGCAAGUCGAACGGAUCCUUCGGGAUUAGUGGCGGACGGGUGAGUAACACGUGGGAACGUGCCCUUUGGUUCGGAACAACUCAGGGAAACUUGAGCUAAUACCGGAUGUGCCCUUCGGGGGAAAGAUUUAUCGCCAUUGGAGCGGCCCGCGUCUGAUUAGCUAGUUGGUGGGGUAAAGGCCCACCAAGGCGACGAUCAGUAGCUGGUCUGAGAGGAUGAUCAGCCACAUUGGGACUGAGACACGGCCCAAACUCCUACGGGAGGCAGCAGUGGGGAAUCUUGCGCAAUGGGCGAAAGCCUGACGCAGCCAUGCCGCGUGAAUGAUGAAGGUCUUAGGAUUGUAAAAUUCUUUCACCGGGGACGAUAAUGACGGUACCCGGAGAAGAAGCCCCGGCUAACUUCGUGCCAGCAGCCGCAGUAACAC